UUGUGAGAGAGAAAAAGAGCGAGAGAGAGAGAGCAAAGGGAGGCAGCGACGUCGCCUUCUCCUCAGCGACCGUCGCCUCCGCAGCGACCAUUACCUUCUCGUCGGUGCCACCGCAGCGACCAUCUCCGUCGCCUCCUCCUCCUCUCUUCUCUCCACCACGGCAGAUCUCUCUCUCUCUGUGCUCAGAUCUCUCUACUCAGAUUGUGUGUGUGUGUGUGAUAUUGAUGAUGUUGUUGAUGUUGUUUGAUGAUAAUGUUGUUGCUGUUGCUCAGAUCUCUUUCUCAGAUCUCUCUUUCUACUUAGAUCUCUCUGUGUGUCAUGUUUGUUGAUGAUGAUGUAGCUGAGAUUUUUUUUUUUUGUCCGGGGAAUUUUCAGGGUCGGGGAAACCCGAUCCCCGUUAGGGGGCGGGGAUGGGGACGGUGAUAGGUUCCCCGUCGGGGAUCGGGUCGAGGAUCAGGUACGGGCCGGGGAAGUUUUCAUCAUGGGGACAGGGAGUGUGUUCUCCGGCCCCGCCCCGGCCCGUUGCCAUCCCUCUCUCUCUUCCCACAGGUUCAGCUCCUCCACUUCCUCUCCAAGAAGCCCAAGCUUCGCAAGUUGUAGAAUCUACCAGUGAAGAAGAAGAACCCAAACGCGAGGAGGUCUUCGCAGUUGUUAUGAGAUACAGGGCAAUCAAAGACUGCAUUUAUUACAUUCAAAGAUCCAAAAGCCCUUGAAAUUGCGUUGUUGUUAUCGCUGAGAACUUCUUGUGAUGACUAAAGCUUUUGUUUUUUCAUGUGGAAUACUUCCAUUUUGGAAGGUCAAGGAUUUUGCAGUGGUAACAGUUGAUUUAUGAAGAGUGACUUGUAUGUUAAAUAUCAACACCUACAAUUAUGUGAGUUUUUGUUCUUUUGACAUAUUGAUAAUGCUUAUUAUGGUUUGAUGGUCUUCCGUAUGUUUUUGUAGAUAACUUCUAAAAUUUGUGAACUUAGGUUGUUUGAAAUCCCGUUAUGACCAGUUGACAAA